rnacentral:lncRNA from 10 species
GAUCAGAAGAGGACUCUCCUGACCAGCCUGGGAAAAGUCUGAGCAGAGUCUGCAGGGGCAAAUACAACUUACUCAGACAAAAAAGGCUGUCAGCAGCAAGUCUAGGCAGAAGCCAGGAGGAGUUAGGAACAGACUAUAAGAAAUGGUUGGUCUGGAGGAAAAAGGGUAAAACUUAUGAGCCAUUCACUGAUGUAUUGGUAAGAGGACAGGAGUCCUGGGGAAAGACUGCCUCAUUUACACUCCAAAGACUUGGGUUCUGAUCUCCAUGUCGUGGCUUAUCAUAGUGUAAGCCAGUUAUGUACCUCUAGAAAUGGAAGUUUCUGCUGUUUAUAAACUGGAAAUAAUGAUACAUGUCCUGACUCCUAUUGGGUUGUUGCAAAGGAAUCAAUUGAAAUAAGACAAGACUUUCUGAAGGCACUUUGCCAACUUUCAGAACUGUAAAGAUUAAGGGACUGCUACUAUGUGCUGCUCAGGAAAUAACAGGCACCUGGGAAAACCCACGAAGUAAGGUUUUGUAAGAAGUUGCUCUGCUCCCUGGGAGAAAACGCGGAGCUCAACACUGCCAAGAGGAACAAGUCUGGGAAAUUACGACAUGAGGGCCCUUGUGAAUUGAUGAAUAUGAAGACACUAAGAAAGCAGAAAUAGAACUGAGAAGAAUGAAAUAACUGUCUCUACCUUUCUCGAAUUGUCUAAUAUGGAAAGAAUGAAAGACAGCUAAUAAGCAACUCUCUGCAAGAAGACAUAUGGCUUAGAAUCUACUUGGAGAGAGUCAAACACAGAAUCCCUUUGAAUUUAAUGGCCAUUCCAGGUGAUUUGAACAGCCAAAUAAGAAACAGGUCCUCUUCAAUGUACAAUCUGCCAAGUAUGAAGUCUGAAUGACCAUCAUUAUUAUGUAUUUAAUGUGCAUAGAAAAUCUAUCUGCAACCUUCCAGAGUGUACCAGAAGUUUGGAAUGUACAUUAUUAUUGGCUCCAUCUCAAACCACUCAUAAAUCAAAGAAAAUAGCAGUUCCAGAGGAAUCAUCAUAGAGGCUUCUAGGCCCCCAUGCUGUGUGAACCUGGUGAGAAAGGGAAGUCUGCUCUCACUGGACACUGGAACUGUUUGUCUCUGUCUCUGCUGUACUUUCCCUGCCUCUACCUCACUUAGUAAAGAAAUCAUCUUUGCUUGAUAACUAAAACAACCAAUAAGGCUGAGAAAGGGGAAAACCCACAUCUGGAUUUAAAUACAAGGUAUUGGGCCAGCUGCUGGGGAUUAAACUUUGAACAAAACAGAUAGAAUCUAUGUCCUCAUGGGAGUGGCUAAUGGGAGAGUCGGAACAAAAAAAUAGCCAAGGAUAAUCCAGCAAAUGAUUUGGUGAAUGCUAUCAAAGAGAGAAAUACACAUGCUCUGGGAACACCAAGAAUAAACGAGAGAAAGGGACAUUAAUAUAUAUUGAAUAUCUGCUGUGUCAGGCACCUUACAUAUAUUGAUUGCUUCUUCACUUCUUUUAAUCUUUACUACACCACAUGAGGCUGUCAUAGAGAUUCUGAGAACAAAUUGUCUAAUUGAGAAACUGCUGAGCAUUGGAAAUGAGCUUGCCAGGGGAACAGAGGGAUACCUGAAUAGCGAAUGCAAGGCAGUUCAAAACUCAAACUCAGGCCACUGGAUUUGCUGCCCACUGCUCCUUGUAUGAUCGCCCUUGGGCACCACAUCCAUGUAGAGUCUUCUUCUAAGAGGCAAGGAAGGUCAAAGCUGAAACCACACAUCCCAGAUUAUGAUUGAGGUGUUUUUAUAGAACUUGUUUAUUUACAGCGUCUAUACUAAAACUUAUUUUUGGAAGCUGUAGUCAAAUAAUGUUUCUUAAGUGCCUUCACAGGAUAGACCAGCAAUAGAUGCUGUGGAAGAAGUGCAUGAUGUAGCUCCUGACCUCAAGACACUUUUCCACUGGAUACGGAUACAGGGCAUAUCUCCAGGGAGAUCAUUCAGGAUAAUGCCCAGUCAUCAGCAGGCAGUGCCAUAUGAAUGCAUAGCAAGUUAUGCUCCAGGAAGCAGAGGAAGCAGAGCACAUGAGGAAUGGGCUUCUAUGUGUAGCUGGAGUCUCACCUGGGUUUUGAAUUCAUAAAUAGUGUUCAAGGAGGAAGCAGGGAGGGUAUAGCUCUUGAUAGGAAGUGAUGGGAUGGCGAUACGAAUAUAUGUUCCUUGUUUGAAAUACCACAUGAAGGGCAUGUGGCUGUGAAACCAACUUUGCAAAGAUGAUGACAGUGAGAGAAAUCUAGCAUGGCUGACUCCAUCUUGCUUCUAGCCUCGCAGGCUGGCUACCCUCACUCACUCUUGGGCAUAGGCCCAGCUAACCAUGGGAGUCAUUUGAUUUAUAGAUUAACUUUGAAACAAGAAUGAUAAGAGUCUCUCCCUAAAACUGACCCCUUCCUUGUUCAGGAGCUGAAACUGCCUUUGUAAGACUAAUGAAAGGCCACAAGAUUAGGAUUAUGGGAGAGGCCUGGAUUCUGCUAAAAUGUAGGUGUAGUAAAUGAUAAACAGACAUUGAUCUCCAGUUGGCUUUUCUAUAAUCCCUUCCUGCUCCGGGGUCAGGUGGCCAGAGGCACAAGAUUUGUGGCUUCCGCAAAUUCUCCUGUAGGUAACAUCACUAUUGUAGAAUUUGAGAUUGGUCUUUUGAGAUGUUUUUCAGGCUUUUGCAUUCUGGCAACUCACUGACCCCAUGACUCAUGACUCAACCUGUUCUGUGGCCCCCACACAGAGGCUAGUUCAGUGCACAAGAACCAUUUUCCACACCCCUAUGUUGUCAUUCCCAACCAAUCAGCAACACCCACCCCUGAGCUCCCUGCCUGCCCAAUUAUCCAUAAAACUCUAGCCUCUGAGUUCUUGGGAUGGCUGAUUUGAGCAAUUAUUCCCAUCCUUCCAUUCAACUAGCCCUGCCAUUAUUAAACUCUUUCUCUACUGCAAUACAUCUGUCUCAGUGAACUGAUUUUAUCUGUGCAGUGGGCAACAAUUAGCCAUUGGGUGAUUAUAGCUGGAAAAGUGCCUACCUUGUGGCAGUUAAACAUGAGGUUUGGAGGGAGACUACCUACAUCUAACCACCACUGACCACCAUUGUAGUUGAGGUUCUGGUCAACUUAUUAACCCUUUGUGCGCACAUGUGCAUGCGUGCACACACACAGACACACACAGACACAUUUUCUCAUGUGUGAAAUGGGGACCAUAAUGUUGGAUCUCCCAGUGUUGCAGGAAGGACUCAUUGUAACAGAACAUGAAAAUAUUUAAUGUGCUGCCUAAUGUAUAACAGACACUGAAUAAAAUAACCACUGUUUUCAUUAGUAAUGGUCUUAGAUACCUAGCUAAGGCAAAAAUUUACUCGAUUUCCUGUCCCUCAUCUUUCAAACUUACUUGGGUUUGUAACCAUCCUUGCUUCCUUCCCCUCUUUUCAAAGUGUUAUUUCCUUUCAAAGUUAAUCCUUUCACUUGAUUCUCAUUCCAUCACGUAUUGUCUUCCUUC